UACAGGCUUAACACAUGCAAGUCGAGGGGCAGCAGGAUUGUGCUGCACAGAUUGCUGGCGACCGGCGCACGGGUGAGUAACGCGUAUCCAACCUUCCCCGAUAGUAGAGGAUAGCCCGGCGAAAGUCGGAUUAAUACUCUAUGUUAGUGUCAUGAGGACAUCUGAAUAACACUAAAGGAUUUAUCGCUAUGGGAUGGGGGAUGCGUCUGAUUAGGUAGUCGGCGGGGUAACGGCCCACCGAGCCGACGAUCAGUAGGGGUUCUGAGAGGAAGGUCCCCCACAUUGGUACUGAGACACGGACCAAACUCCUACGGGAGGCAGCAGUGAGGAAUAUUGGUCAAUGGGCGGGAGCCUGAACCAGCCAAGUAGCGUGCAGGAAUGACUGCCCUAUGGGUUGUAAACUGCUUUUAUCAGGGAAUAAAGUGAGGCACGUGUGCCUUUUUGUAUGUACCUGAUGAAUAAGGACCGGCUAAUUCCGUGCCAGCAGCGGC
rnacentral:rRNA from 1 species